rnacentral:rRNA from 1 species
UACGUAGGGGGCGAGCGUUGUCCGGAAUUAUUGGGCGUAAAGCGCGCGCAGGCGGCGAUUUAAGUUCGGUGUUUAAGCCCGGGGCUCAACCCCGGAUCGCAUCGAAAACUGGAUGGCUUGAGUGCAGGAGAGGGAAGCGGAAUUCCACGUGUAGCGGUGAAAUGCGUAGAGAUGUGGAGGAACACCAGUGGCGAAGGCGGCUUCCUGGCCUGUAACUGACGCUGAGGCGCGAAAGCGUGGGGAGCAAACAGG